UAAUGGAUUCACGUGUAAGCAGUGAGGUGGUCAUGUAGGCAAAUCCGCAUGGCAUAACAUUGAGCUGUGAUGCCGAAGCCGUAUGGCGAAGUCAACUGAUGUCACGCUUCCAAGAAAAGCUUCUAGGGUUAAUUUAGUAAGUGCCCGUACCGAUAACCGACACAGGUAGGCGAGGAGAGAAUCCUAAGAUGAGCGAGAGAACUCUUGUUAAGGAACUCGGCAAAAUGACCCCGUAACUUCGGGAGAAGGGGUGCUUGUGAAAGCAAGCCGCAGUGAAUAGGCCCAGGCGACUGUUUAUCAAAAACACAGGUCUCUGCUAAACCGCAAGGUGAUGUAUAGGGGCUGACGCCUGCCCGGUGCUGGAGGGUUAAGAGGAGAGGUUAGCGCAAGCGAAGCUUUGAAUUGAAGCCCCAGUAAACGGCGGCCGUAACAAUAACGGUCCUAAGGUAGCGAAAUUCCUUGUCGGGUAAGUUCCGACCCGCACGAAAGGCGUAACGAUCUGGGCGCUGUCUCAACAAGAGACUCGGUGAAAUCAUAGUACCUGUGAAGAUGCUGGUUACCCGCGACAGGACGGAAAGACCCCGUGGAGCUUUACUGUAGCUUGAUAUUGAGCACUGGUGACACAUGUACAGGAUAGGUAGGAGACGAAGAAGCCAGGACGCCAGUCUUGGUGGAGUCGCUGUUGGGAUACUACCCUUGUGUUACUGGGGUUCUAACCCGUGGCCAUGAUCUGGUCAGGGAACAGUGUCAGGUGGGCAGUUUGACUGGGGCGGUCGCCUCCCAAAGAGUAACGGAGGCGCCCAAAGGUUCCCUCAGAAUGGUUGGAAAUCAUUCGAAGAGUGUAAAGGCAGAAGGGAGCUUGACUGCGAGACCUACAAGUCGAGCAGGGACGAAAAUCGGGCUUAGUGAUCCGGCGGUACCGAAUGGAAGGGCCGUCGCUCAACGGAUAAAAGCUACCCCGGGGAUAACAGGCUGAUCUCCCCCAAGAGUUCACAUCGACGGGGAGGUUUGGCACCUCGAUGUCGGCUCAUCGCAUCCUGGGGCUGUAGUCGGUCCCAAGGGUUGGGCUGUUCGCCCAUUAAAGCGGUACGCGAGCUGGGUUCAGAACGUCGUGAGACAGUUCGGUCCCUAUCCGUCGUGGGCGUGGGAAAUUUGAGAGGAGCUGUCCUUAGUACGAGAGGACCGGGAUGGACACACCGCUGGUGUACCAGUUGUUCUGCCAGGAGCAUAGCUGGGUAGCUACGUGUGGACGGGAUAAACGCUGAAAGCAUCUAAGCGUGAAGCCCCCCUCAAGAUGAGAUUUCCCAUUCGAAAGAAGUAAGAUCCCUUGAAGACGACAAGGUAGAUAGGUCAGAAGUGGAAGUGUGGUGACACAUGGAGCGGACUGAUACUAAUCGAUCGAGGACUUAACCG
rnacentral:rRNA from 1 species